UGGGGAAUAUUGGGCAAUGGGCGCAAGCCUGACCCAGCAACGCCGCGUGAGGGAAGAAGGUCUUCGGAUUGUAAACCUCUGUCCUUGGGGACGAAAAAAAUGACGGUACCCAAGGAGGAAGCUCCGGCUAACUACGUGCCAGCAGCCGCGGUAAUACGUAGGGAGCAAGCGUUGUCCGGAAUUACUGGGCGUAAAGGGUGCGUAGGCGGUCAGGCAAGUCAGAUGUGAAAUCCCCGGGCUUAACUCGGGUGGUGCAUUUGAAACUGCUUGACUUGAGUGCAGGAGAGGAAAGCGGAAUUCCUAGUGUAGCGGUGAAAUGCGUAGAUAUUAGGAGGAACACCAGUGGCGAAGGCGGCUUUCUGGACUGUAACUGACGCUGAGGCACGAAAGUGUGGGGAGCAAACA
rnacentral:rRNA from 1 species